GACGAACGCUGGCGGCGUGCUUAACACAUGCAAGUCGAACGGAAAGGCCCCUUUGGGGGUACUCGAGUGGCGAACGGGUGAGUAACACGGGAGUAACCUGCCCUUGACUUCUGGAUAACUUCAGGAAACUGGGGCUAAUACCGGAUAGGAAUCAUUGCUGCAUGGUGGGGGUUGGAAAGCUUCGGGGGUUUUGGAUGGACUCGUGGCUUAUUAGCUUGUUGGUGGGGUAGUGGCUUACCAAGGCUUUGACGGGUAGCCGGCCUGAGAGGGCGACCGGCCACACUGGGACUGACGUACGGCCCAGACGCCGACGGGAGGAAGCAGUGGGGAAUAUUGCACAAGGGGCGGAGGCCUGAUGCAGCAACGCCGCGGGCGGGAUGACGGUCUUCGGGUUGUAGACCGCUUUCAGCAGGGGCGAAGCUUGUGGUGACGGUACCUGCAGAAGAAGCACCGGCUAACUACGUG
rnacentral:rRNA from 1 species